rnacentral:lncRNA from 1 species
CUGAUCAUGCUUCCAACAGCGAGUGAAAUGGCCUAAAACAGCUGUCAGAUGGUGUGAAAUGAACACAGACACAAGAGCUCCUCUGACAAGAAGUCUAUCCUGACCAUCCUCAAGGUCCUCGGAGAUCUGCUUUCUGUUGGUGAGUAGGCCAUGUCCUCAUGCCUUCAUAUGGUGGAUGUGGAGCCUG